rnacentral:rRNA from 1 species
AACGAACGCUGGCGGCAUGCCUAACACAUACAAGUCGAACGAGAUCUUCGGGUCUAGUGGCGCACGGGUGCGUAACGCGUGGGAAUCUGCCCUUUGGUUCGGAAUAACAGUUGGAAACGACUGCUAAUACCGGAUGAUGACGAAAGUCCAAAGAUUUAUCGCCAGAGGAUGAGCCCGCGUAGGAUUAGCUAGUUGGUGUGGUAAAGGCGCACCAAGGCGACGAUCCUUAGCUGGUCUGAGAGGAUGAUCAGCCACACUGGGACUGAGACACGGCCCAGACUCCUACGGGAGGCAGCAGUGGGGAAUAUUGGACAAUGGGCGAAAGCCUGAUCCAGCAAUGCCGCGUGAGUGAUGAAGGCCUUAGGGUUGUAAAGCUCUUUUACCCGGGAUGAUAAUGACAGUACCGGGAGAAUGAGCUCCGGCUAACUCCGUGCCAGCCGCCGCCGUAAGAC